UGGGGAAUAUUGGACAAUGGGGGCAACCCUGAUCCAGCCAUGCCGCGUGUGUGAAGAAGGCCUUUUGGUUGUAAAGCACUUUAAGCAGUGAAGAAGACCUAACGGUUAAUACCCGUUAGCGAUGACAUUAGCUGCAGAAUAAGCACCGGCUAACUCUGUGCCAGCAGCCGCGGUAAUACAGAGGGUGCAAGCGUUAAUCGGAAUUACUGGGCGUAAAGCGAGCGUAGGUGGCUUGAUAAGUCAGAUGUGAAAUCCCCGGGCUCAACCUGGGAACUGCAUCUGAUACUGGCAAGCUUGAGUCUCGUAGAGGGGGCUAGAAUUCCAGGUGUAGCGGUGAAAUGCGUAGAGAUCUGGAGGAAUACCGGUGGCGAAGGCGGCCCCCUGGACGAAGACUGACGCUCAGGUGCGAAAGCGUGGGGAGCAAACAGGAUUAGAUACCC
rnacentral:rRNA from 1 species